CCCCAUAACUGCCCCACAAACCUACAGUCGUGUGACUCCCCCCAGCUGCCCCAUAACUGCCCCAUAACCCCACGGCCACGUGAUGCCGUGUGCCCCACAUAUUCCCCGCUCACCCCACAAUCACGUGCCCCCCCAGCUCCCCCCAAGGAGGACGAAGAAGAGGAAGAGGAGGAGGAAGCCUCUGGUCACGCCCACCGCCCCUCCCCCACGUGGCAGGAGCUCAAGCCCCGCCCCCAAGAGUUGGACAGGCCCCGCCCUCCCGAAGACCACGCCCCUCGCAGGCUCCUCCCCCUCGGCCCGCAGCUAUUGGCGCUGGGGGCGCUGGGGGCGGGGCUUGCGGUGCUCGGGUGGCUCAGGGGCGGGGCUUAAGGGGGCGUGGGCUGGACGUAAGGGGCGGGGCUUACGGGCUCUCCUCUGUCUCUGUGUCCCCCCCCGUUGAAAUAAAGAGGGAAUGAACCAAUGGCA
rnacentral:lncRNA from 1 species